rnacentral:tRNA from 2 species
GCUCCCAUAGCUUAACGGAUAGAGUAAUGGUUUGCGGAACCAUUGAUGGCUGUUCAAUUCAGCCUGGGAGCA